AUUGAAUAUUAUCUUUAAUAGCCUUUCACUUUAUUCUUAAUUCUUCAUCCUCUUCCUUAUCUUCAAGAAAAACCUCUAACUUCUCAUGUAAUUUUCCAUUAGUAGCUUAAAGAAAUAAUUCAAUUUCAUUUGAUCUCAAUGUUAACUUUUGUAUUUUUGAUAAUUGACAAAAUUACCUUUUAAAUUCUCUUAAUGAUUUUGUACCUUAUAAAUUCUUGUUAUAUCAU
rnacentral:lncRNA from 1 species